rnacentral:rRNA from 1 species
UACGUAGGGUGCAAGCGUUGUCCGGAAUUAUUGGGCGUAAAGAGCUCGUAGGCGGUCUGUCGCGUCGGCUGUGAAAACCCGGGGCUCAACCCCGGGCCUGCAGUCGAUACGGGCAGACUAGAGUGUGGUAGGGGAGACUGGAAUUCCCGGUGUAGCGGUGAAAUGCGCAGAUAUCGGGAGGAAUACCAGUAGCGAAGGCGGCACUCUGGGCCGGUACUGGCGCUGAGGAGCGAAAGCGUGGGGAGCAAACAGG